rnacentral:misc_RNA from 1 species
GAUGAAGAACGUAGCGAAAUGCGAUACUUGGUGUGAAUUGCAGAAUCCCGUGAACCAUCGAGUCUUUGAACGCAAGUUGCGCCCGAAGCCAUCAGGUUGAGGGCACGUCUGCCUGGGCGUCACAUAUCGUUGCUCGAUGCCUAUCGCAUUGCGAUAGGACUUAGGGCGAAUGAUGGCUUCCCGUGAGCGUUGUUGCCUCGCGGUUGGUUGAAAAUCGAGUCCUUGGUAGGGUGUGCCAUGAUAGAUGGUGGUCGAGUUAGCACGCGACCGAUCAUGUGCAUGCUCCCCAAAAUAUGGCCUCUGUGACCCACACGCGUCUUUUGACACUCAUGACGAGACCUCAGGUCAGGCGGGGCUACCCGCUGAAUUUAAGCAUAUCAAUAAGCGGAGGA